rnacentral:rRNA from 1 species
AACGAACGCUGGCGGCAUGCCUAACACAUGCAAGUCGAACGAGACCUUCGGGUCUAGUGGCGCACGGGUGCGUAACGCGUGGGAACCUGCCCUUAGGUUCGGAAUAACUCCCCGAAAGGGGUGCUAAUACCGGAUAAUGUCUUCGGACCAAAGAUUUAUCGCCUUUGGAUGGGCCCGCGUUGGAUUAGCUAGUUGGUAGGGUAAAAGCCUACCAAGGCGACGAUCCAUAGCUGGUCUGAGAGGAUGAUCAGCCACACUGGGACUGAGACACGGCCCAGACUCCACGGGGGGGAGGGGGGGGGGAAUUUAGGAGAGGGGGAGAAGGCUGACCCACGAAGGGCGGGGGGGGGGAGGAGGGCUUUGGGUUUAAAAAGUUCUUUCCCCGGGAAGGAAAGUGACGGUCCGGGGAAAAAAAGCCCCGGCUAACCCCGGG